rnacentral:rRNA from 1 species
CCUACGGGAGGCAGCAGUAGGGAAUCUUCCACAAUGGGCGCAAGCCUGAUGGAGCAACACCGCGUGAGUGAAGAAGGGUUUCGGCUCGUAAAGCUCUGUUGUUGGAGAAGAACGUGCGUGAGAGUAACUGUUCACGCAGUGACGGUAUCCAACCAGAAAGUCACGGCUAACUACGUGCCAGCAGCCGCGGUAAUACGUAGGUGGCAAGCGUUAUCCGGAUUUAUUGGGCGUAAAGCGAGCGCAGGCGGUUGCUUAGGUCUGAUGUGAAAGCCUUCGGCUUAACCGAAGAAGUGCAUCGGAAACCGGGCAACUUGAGUGCAGAAGAGGACAGUGGAACUCCAUGUGUAGCGGUGGAAUGCGUAGAUAUAUGGAAGAACACCAGUGGCGAAGGCGGCUGUCUGGUCUGCAACUGACACUGAGGCUCGAAAGCAUGGGUAGCAAACAGGAUUAGAUACCCGAGUAGUC